rnacentral:rRNA from 1 species
GACGAACGCUGGCGGCGUGCUUAACACAUGCAAGUCGAACGGAAAGGCCCUGCUUUUGUGGGGUGCUCGAGUGGCGAACGGGUGAGUAACACGUGAGUAACCUGCCCUUGACUUUGGGAUAACUUCAGGAAACUGGGGCUAAUACCGGAUAGGAGCUCCUGCUGCAUGGUGGGGGUUGGAAAGUUUCGGCGGUUGGGGAUGGACUCGCGGGUUAUCAGCUUGUUGGGGGGGUAGUGGCUUACCAAGGCUUUGACGGGUAGCCGGCCUGAGAGGGUGACCGGCCACAUUGGGACUGAGAUACGGCCCAGAAUCCUACGGGAGGCAGCAGUGGGGAAUCUUGCACAAUGGGGGGAAGCCUGAUGCAGCAACGCCGCGUGCGGGAUGACGGCCUUCGGGUUGUAAACCGCUUUCGCCUGUGACGAAGCGUGAGUGACGGUAAUGGGUAAAGAGGCACCGGCUAACUACGUG